UACAGAGGUCUCAAGCGUUAAUCGGAAUUACUGGGCUUAAAGGGUCCGCAGGCGGUCUGACAAGUACCUUGUGAAAUAUCAGGUCUCAAUCCUGAAACUGCUCGGUAGACUGUCAGACUUGAGUGCAAAAGGGGUCGCUGGAACUCUAGGUGGAGCGGUGAAAUGCGUAGAUAUCUAGAGGAACGCCAAAGGUGAAGACAGGCGACUGGUUUGCAACUGACGCUCAUGGACGAAAGCGUGGGGAUCAAACGGG
rnacentral:rRNA from 1 species